rnacentral:snoRNA from 1 species
ACCCUUUUCUGGUUCAUAAACAUGAUGAUUGGGUGUUCACAUGCUUGUGUGACAUGUGUCUCCCUUAAAUCUUGUUAUGCAUUUGGCACAUUACCUAUCACG